AUGAACGCUAGCGGGAGGCCUAACACAUGCAAGCUGAGCGGUAGAGAUUCUUCGGGAUCUUGAGAGCGGCGUACGGGCGCGGAACACGUGUGCAACCUGCCUUUAUCUGGGGGAUAACCUUUCGAAAGGAAGAUUAAUACCCCAUAAUAUAAGAGACGGCAUCGUUUUUUAUUGAAAACUCCGGUGGAUAGAGAUGGGCACGCGCAAGAUUAGAUAGUUGGUGAGGUAACGGCUCACCAAGUCUACGAUCUUUAGGGGGCCUGAGAGGGUGAUCCCCCACACUGGUACUGAGACACGGACCAGACUCCUACGGGAGGCAGCAGUGAGGAAUAUUGGACAAUGGGUGAGAGCCUGAUCCAGCCAUCCCGCGUGAAGGACGACGGCCCUAUGGGUUGUAAACUUCUUUUGUAUAGGGAUAAACCUACCCUCGUGAGGGUAGCUGAAGGUACUAUACGAAUAAGCACCGGCUAACUCCGUGCCAGCCGCCGCCGUAAGAC
rnacentral:rRNA from 1 species